GCCUUCGUGAUGUGGUGGUCAGCAUGCUUGGCAUGUAUUCGAGAGGUCCGUGGUUCGAAUCCCGGCGAGAGCA
rfam:Stegodyphus mimosarum contig59411, whole genome shotgun sequence.